rnacentral:misc_RNA from 1 species
AAACGAACGAACGGCCGAGAUAAGCUGCGCAUGCACACAAACAUGCGGUCGGUCAUGCUCUUCCCAACAAGGCAGCAUGCACAGUUAUCACCAGACUACCAGAGCUCCACUAGCGUCUAGCGGUCCCCGAUCCGGCGUUUGCGUCGGCACGCUUGGCGGUGGCGCGCAAAAGCAGUGCGGUUGGGCCACGCCACGCUCACUGGCAGGGGCGAGGGGACACGUACCGUACCGUACGUACUGCUGGAUCGGGAGGAAGCGCUAUGGCCGCCGGGAGGGAGAGGGACCGGGAGCUGCUCCUCCCGGUGGUGGGCGGGGAGCAUGUCGCCGGCAACGAGGACGACUCGGAUCCGACCACCCCUGUCAUCGCCGGGCCGCCGCCGCCAACGACGUCCGCGCGCGUGCUCCACCUCCACCACCAUCCCACGGGCAUCGAGGCAUUUUCACGAGUGAUACGGAGCUGGGCGUGGAAGAAGUUCAUGUCUGGAUGCGUCAUCCUGCUCCCGAUCGCCAUCACCUUCUACACGACAUGGUGGUUCAUCCGCUUCGUCGACGGCUUCUUCUCGCCCAUCUACGUCCAUCUCGGGAUACACCUCUUCGGCCUCGGGUUUGUCACCUCCAUCACCUUCAUCUUCCUCGUCGGCGUGUUCAUGUCGUCGUGGCUGGGCGCCUCGCUCCUCGGCCUCGGCGAGUUCUUCAUCAAGAGGAUGCCGCUCGUGCGCCACAUCUACUCGGCUUCCAAGCAGAUCAGCGCCGCGAUAUCGCCAGACCAGAGCUCAAGAGCCUUCAAGGAGGUGGUGAUCAUCCGGCACCCCAGGAUCGGCGAGUACGCGCUGGGCUUCAUCACGUCGACGGUGGCGCUGCGAGGCGCCGGCGUCCGCGGCGACCAGGACCUCGCCUGCGUCUACGUGCCCACCAACAACCUCUACCUCGGCGACAUCUUCCUCAUGAGCCGCGCCGACGUCAUCGUCCCGGACCUCUCCGUCCGGGAGGCCAUCGAAAUCAUCCUCUCGGGCGGCAUGUCGGUGCCAAAGAUCAUAUCGGCGGUGGAGGGGGCUGUCGGCCUCGGCGACUAUGACCGGGCAGUGAAGGACUCCUAGCUCACGCUUCUUUCUUCUCUUUAUCACAAUCUUAGGUUGCUCUUCGAGGUUCUGCAUGUUCUAGAUUGCAGGUUUUAGGCAACGUUCUCCACUUUUCAUCAGUUAUAGGAAAAUAUAUUUUGGUAUCUAGCAAACUUGUGCUAAGUUUGCUAUAUAAAUUCUUUCAUGCGAGUUCUGGUAUGAACUGACAAAGCAUUGUUUCGAUAGGUAAACAGUUUAAGUUUACAUUUAUACUUACGACCUGUAUGUUUAGUUCAAGAAUUGUAACGUAAAUAACAACAGUAAUGAUUCAUGCUCGAGUGACAGCGGUAACAAAUUUAAAUAGAUCAAUAUCAGG